CUCGGCAGUAUGUGCUACAGAAAUUUCCCUUCUGCAGUGUACCACACACCAACGUACUGAAAAAUGGGGGUGUACCGCCAAGCACUUCCCCGUGCAAGCGUUACCGCACACCUGAGUUUACCAGAUUCCCUGGAACUAGUACUUCCU